UUUGAUCACCAGACAGUCGCCGCUUCGUCGUCGUCCUUUCAGUACGCGAGGAGGAAAGUCCGGCUCCAUAGGGCAGGGUGCCGUAACGCCCUAAAACCCACGACCAGUGCGCAACAGGAGAGCAAAACCGCUUUACGCCCACGCAAGUGGGAUCAGGUGGUGCGAAAGGGUGCGGUAAGAGCGCACCGCGCGGUUGGUACCAAGUCCGUGGCACGGUAAACUCCACCCGAGCAAGGCCAAAUAGGGGUUCCCAUGGCGCGUCGGCCCGUACUGAACCCGGUAGGCUGCUUGGAGCCAGUGAGCGAUUGCUGGCCUAGAUGAAUGACCGUCCAAUGAGACAGAACCCGGCUUUCUAUCGGUCAGUUUUC
rnacentral:RNase_P_RNA from 1 species